UCUAUCUAUAUAUAUAAAAGAAGGUUUAUUCUCUCCUGUGAAGACACGUCAGCCCCGUAUCAAUAAGUCCAGUUAUCUGGGUGCUAAAUGUGUCCAAUCUCUUUAUACUCUGCUUUUCAUUAACGUAACCAUCCACAGCUGUGGGAUAUUUUUGGAUGUGGGUUUUAUGUUUGCCUCAAGGAAUCCAGCCAACGAGAAACCCUAAUGAUCUCAUUCAAGAUUUCAUCCCAAUCUUUCUUCUCAGCCAUCCGAGAGAUUUAGAUUUUUAGUUUGCAUGAUGAAGAAUCCUGUGAUGAAUCUCUUCGUAGGGUUUCGAUCGUGUCGCUUGAUCUUCAUUUUCAUUAACCAAAACGUCUCAGUUACAGAUUCAUCGCUUUAAACCCCUUCUUAACUCCAUCAACCACGAUCUAGACUUCAAUGCGAUUUAUUCUUUUGCUAGGCGGUGUAUCUGCGAUUACAAGUAUAAAUAGGUUAGCUUGCUGCAAUUAUGUGAGGCCACAAAUGUCAAACGCGGUAGGGACGUCUUCCUCGCGUAUUUAAAGCCUUAAAGCUCCUCCAUCGUGGUUCGACGACUCACUCUUGCGACAAUCAUUGAAACCUGUCACAACUUCCUCAUGUGACGAUCAUUGAAUCACCUCCAUCUUGCGUAAGAUCUCUAUCUAUCAGUUCAUUAUAAUCCAUAUAUUUUUUUAAACUUUAUUUUUUUGCCUGAGAAAUUAUGCUUAUGAGUUGCUCAAUAGAUGCUCACCAAUUUCGUCACUGGAACAAUUGCAGAAGCAUCUGAAAAAAUAACACAGGCUGAAACAAGGUUAUUGUAUGUUUCUGUAACUCUUCAACUAUGUUAUUAACUGAACCAUAUUAGAUUUGAAAGGGCUGACUUUUCUAGAAGAUAGAUCUGGAACUUGUGUGUUGGUACAUGCUGAGCAUGCUCUUGACCCCUCACUUGCUAAAGUAAUCUGUGUAAGUAAAUACAGAAAACCUACUUCUAUCCCAUCUUAAUUGGUGCAAACAAGCUCUUAUUCUUGUGGACCCUUUAAUCCAAAUUGGUUCGGUUGAUGUAUUGUCUCUCACUGUGCAAUUAAGGUGAUUAAUUUGAGAUGAAUAAUGGAUCGCUGAGUUUGGUUUGAGCUCUGUAUUUCUCUUCUCAUGUCAAGUUUUUUUAAUUUUUAAUAGGGGCCCUUGAGUAUGAGAUGUGUGAUGCUCAUAUUGCUAUCCUAGCUAGAAUGAUUAGCCAAGCUUUGCAUAAAGUGAGCCACUCUUUGUAUAACACUUAUCAUCUUUAUAAAUCAGACAAGCUAUUCUCUGUUCGGAGACUUCAUUGCGGCCAGGUGUGAGGAACCAGUUUAUCGGAGGUAAAUCAUAAGAGGCAGCGUGAGGUUGACUCAGUCAUGGCAAUUUAUUUGCUGAGGUUCUGAUAUUUAAGGCACAUGUUUACGUUUCGUUACACCAGAGAUUUUGGUCAUGCUGAACCACUCUCCCUCGAAAUGACAGACUCAUAUAAAUAAUUUAUAUAAAAAAAAAUUGAACAAGGUUCCAGUUCCUCACACCCGGAAACAAUGACACUUUUGUUGUACUCUACAUCUGAGGAUCAUAUUACUUUAUUAUUAUAAAAAUAUCUGGGUUUUGUUAUUUCAGUUGCUCAGAUUUUCAAGGUGGGUAUAAUCAAAUGGUCUGAGACUCUGAGGAUCAACAAUACAUUGAAGAUUUUUCUUACUCUGCUGAUCAAGUGUCUGAUGGAAUAGCUAAAAGAUUUUAUUAGUUUUUGAUUUAUCAUGUUGUCUUAGGGUGUUGUACUCUUUACUGGUGUACGAAAUCUUACUGCCUUUUCGUUUUUUUCUCAAUGAUAUUCGAUAGGUUAGUUAAUGUCGAUUUGCUCCUCAUCAUUUGUUGCAGGAGGGUGAAGGGUUAUGCUUAACCUGCGUCGAAUGCUAAAAGAUUGUUGAAAAGGAUGAGCCUUAACAGAUUCUUUUUUGGUGCCAGUACUAUUAUAUUGCUUCUUUCGUUUGUAAGGCCAUUUGUGUGUCAGAAAAAAACUUAUUUUAAGUGACUAUCCAUUACAUGAUAUUGGUAACUUGCUUGACAA